rnacentral:tRNA from 1 species
AGCAGAAGUAGUUCAGCGGUAGAAUACGACCUUGCCAAGGUCGGGGUCGCGGGUUCGAAUCCCGUCUUCUGCUCCAU